CCCGCCACCAUGCCUUUCGUGCAACAGUGACUGGCAUGUUCCAGUGGUGAGCUAAUAACAAACCCCAGCUUAGGAAGCAGAACUCUUCUAUCUGACCCAUGAAGAGUCCUGUGCCGAAAAACUGGGGACACAA